rnacentral:lncRNA from 1 species
AAUGAGAAUUUGCCUUGGAUUGUCACUCAAUUCCAUGUCAAAGACUAAAAAAUCAACUGAAAAAUAGAACUCAUUUAUCUUGACCAAAACAUCAUCGAUCAUCCCACGUGAUGUCUUAAUUGAUCUAUCAGCUAAUUGUAGAGUGACUGAUGUGGGUUUCAAUUCUCCGAAUUCAAAAAAUUCAUAAACCGAACUAGGUAAAAGAUUCACACUCACCUCU